CACGUAGGCACCAAGCGUUGUCCGGAUUUAUUGGGCGUAAAGAGCUCGUAGGCGGUUUGAUAAGUCGGGUGUGAAAACUUUGGGCUCAACCCAAAGCGUGCAUUCGAUACUGUUGUGACUAGAGUUCGGUAGGGGAGUGGGGAAUUCCUAGUGUAGCGGUGAAAUGCGCAGAUAUUAGGAGGAACACCGGUGGCGAAGGCGCCACUCUGGGCCGAAACUGACGCUGAGGAGCGAAAGCGUGGGUAGCAAACAGG
rnacentral:rRNA from 1 species